GUGCUCACUUUGGCAGCACACACACUAAAAUUGGAACAAUGUGGAGAUUAUUAGCAUGGCCCUUGUGCAAGAAUGGCCCACAAAUUUAUGAGGUGUUCCGUAGUUUU